rnacentral:rRNA from 1 species
CGGACGGGUGAGUAAUGUCUGGGAAACUGCCCGAUGGGAGGGGGUAACUACUGGAAACGGUAGCUAAUACCGCAUAACGUCGCAAGACCAAGAGGGGACCUUCGGGCCUCUUGCCAUCGGAUGUGCCCAGAUGGGAUUAGCUAGUAGGUGGGGUAACGGCUCACCUAGGCGACGAUCCCUAGCUGGUCUGAGAGGAUGACCAGCCACACUGGAACUGAGACACGGUCCAG